rnacentral:tRNA from 1 species
GAGGGUAUAGCUAAGUGGUAGAGCACUGUGCUUAGAAUGCACAAGGUCAUGGGUUCAAUCCCCAGUACCUCUA